rnacentral:lncRNA from 1 species
GACUUCUCCAACAAUCGGAUUCCUACCGGACUUCGCCAAUAGAAAGUUUCUAUCCGAGCUUCUGCAGCAAGUGACUCCCACCCAUAGUAUCAGCGCCUAAGCCACCCGACAAUAGUAGACUCGUCAGCAACUUUGGGGACAUCCGAGCUUCUCCCAGACCAACAAUAGAGAGCCAUUCCACUCCAUCAGAUGUCCCAGCUGAGCUCCAGC